UACGGGGGGGGGCAAGCGUUGUUCGGAAUUACUGGGCGUAAAGGGCUUGUAGGUGGCCAACUAAGUCAGACGUGAAAUCCCUCGGCUUAACCGGGGAACUGCGUCUGAUACUGGAUGGCUUGAGUGUGGAGAGGGAUGCGGAAUUCCAGGUGUAGCGGUGAAAUGCGUAGAUAUCUGGAGGAACACCGGUGGCGAAGGCGGUUCUCUGGGCCUUGACCUGACGCUGAGGCGCGAAAGCUAGGGGAGCGAACAGG
rnacentral:rRNA from 1 species